UGGGGAAUAUUGGACAAUGGGCGAAAGCCUGAUCCAGCCAUGCCGCGUGUGUGAAGAAGGUCUUCGGAUUGUAAAGCACUUUAAGUUGGGAGGAAGGGCAUUAACCUAAUACGUUAGUGUUUUGACGUUACCGACAGAAUAAGCACUGGCUAACUCUGUGCCAGCAGCCGCGGUAAUAAAGAGGGUGCAAGCGUUAAUCGGAAUUACUGGGCGUAAAGCGCGCGUAGGUGGUUUGUUAAGUUGGAUGUGAAAUCCCCGGGCUCAACCUGGGAACUGCAUUCAAAACUGACUGACUAGAGUAUGGUAGAGGGUGGUGGAAUUUCCUGUGUAGCGGUGAAAUGCGUAGAUAUAGGAAGGAACACCAGUGGCGAAGGCGACCACCUGGACUAAUACUGACACUGAGGUGCGAAAGCGUGGGGAGCAAACA
rnacentral:rRNA from 1 species